AUAUGCCUAUAUGAGUCAAUACGAUAUAGCAUAAACGUUACACAAUAGUUUUCAAGAAUGCAAAUAAUUUUAAGGACAAGAGCAUACAAGAAUUCAAAGCAGUAAUAUAAAGCUCAAUUGAAUAAGAAAGCUAAAGGAUAUCAACUUCUAAAGGAAUGAAACCAGAAUAUGCGAAAUCGACCAAAGCUCGAUUUCUGGCAGAAUUUAAGAGGCACAUUGAACAAAUGAUUCAAACUAUCAAUCGUGCUCUAAUUUACUCAGAAAU
rnacentral:lncRNA from 1 species